GAUACGUCACAUAAGUUCCGUAUCGGUGCAGGAUACUGCACUAGGACGGGGAUACGUCCGGAUACGCGUGGGAUACCCGUAUCCCUACGUAUCACGUUUUUGCGAAUUAAAAUAAAGAGAAAAAAAUAGGGAUACGACUGGGACACGCGGGGAUACACCACGGAUACGUUAGGCCUGUUACCACUCGAUCUCCAGCCCAUCAAAAAAGGCCUACUCGCGAUGGGUAAAUAAACCUAAUCGCUGGAGUCCAUCCUGCCGUCACCUGCAGUUGCCAAAUCGUGAGGGUUCGAGCCGCAUCUCCAGACUCCCUUCCGCCGCCGGCGCCGGCGGCACCUCGCAGCUCGCUGCCUGCCUCCGUCCUCCAACUCCAAGUCGGCAAGUCUUCCCCAUCCUUAGUCUGUACGCAAGGAAUGACGUGUAGGUUUGUGAUGGCGAUUUCCCAGGGAGUUAUUCAGAUCACCCUGAAUGAAAAAGAUCAGGAGGCCGCGGAUGCAGCCGUUGAGGCGGACGGUAUGGCGACCGCGGCGACGGAGAAGGUCGGCGAAUCUGAGGCGCGAAUCGGCGACGAAGUCCGGGUCGUCGCUGGCUCUAGUUCCAGGUCGUAUUUUGACUGUGCGGUUUCUUUAGCAAUUGUAUCCACGUGAAUUGCCUUGAUGUGUCUGCUGCGGUCAACAGAACUUGCUAGCAUCGACGUUGGCGGCUUGAAGUCAAUUCGGAGGCAACAACUCAAGGUUUUAGGCGAACCCCGACGACGAUGAUGCUGCUGCAGCGAUUUGGUUGACGCAAGGCCCACUUUAAUCGGCCUACUGUAGAAAGCGGGAUUAUACAGGGGCAGUUUGGCGCUCACACCGCAGCAGUGGCGAGGCGGAGUUGGGGCCGUGACCUUUCUUGACGAAUCCAAAUCCAGGUCUCCCUCGUGGCGCUUGUCGUAUUCUUAGAGGAAAAAAAAAAUUAAGCCUCGAAUCCGGGUCUCCCUCGUGAUGGUGAAGACAGGCGACUCGGCAGCGGCGGUCAAGGCGACCUGGCGCAUCAAAUUAACCUGAGGCCAGAGACAUGCAGCUAGCAUCUUCUUCCGGGUCGUCGUUAGAUUUUCAGCAAAAAAAAUCUUAAACCGCCCUCAUGAUCUUUCUUCUCAUGGUGCAGUUGGCUAGUCUGAACAUGGUCUUCUUCUUUUUUUAUUCACAUCAACUCGCAUCUUGAAGCUGGUGCAAACAGAACACCUUUCAGCUAGUCCAUCAUGAUGACCAGGUUUGCUAGAGCAAACAAAUCGGCUAUUGAUCUCGGGAUUUGAAGCAAACAACUACGGUUUGAUGGAUGUGAGCAUAUCUCUUCCUUUGAUCUAACGUGGAGGCAACUCACAAUUGACAACUUGGAUUUGGCAGCGGCGGCAGACCACACCGUAACCCUAAUUUCUCUUUUUUGACUUGAAUCUUCUGGAUUGUAAAAUCUAAACCAGUAACCACAAGGCUAAGUCUUUCUUAUCCGAAGAAUUGUAAACUCCUCGAUCCCUGAGAGAGAUCCCUUCAAAAACUCAACA